rnacentral:ncRNA from 2 species
AACUCCGUGCCAGCAGCCGCGGUAAUACGGAGGACGCGAGCGUUAUCCGGAUUCAUUGGGUUUAAAGGGUGCGCAGGCGGCCCGGUAAGUCAGCGGUGAAAGUCAGGGGCCCAACCCCGGAAGUGCCGUUGAUACUGUCGGGCUGGAAUGCGGUCGAGGCGGGCGGAAUGUGGUGUGUAGCGGUGAAAUGCAUAGAUAUGCCACAGAACGCCGAUAGCGAAGGCAGCUCGCCAGGCCUGCAUUGACGCUCGGGCACGAAAGCGUGGGGAUCAAACAGGAUUA